UACUAUGAUGAACAAGAGCAAAAGCUCUAUAAUCCCAGCUCUCCGACAGCAGUCUCGUCAUAAUCUCACGUUUGAGGCUGUUAUGAGCGAAGAAUUCCAACCCUGACAC
rnacentral:snoRNA from 1 species